UACGUAGGGGCCGAGCGUUGUCCGGAGUUAUUGGGCGUAAAGCGCGCGCAGGCGGCCUCGCGCGCCCGACGUGAAAGCCCACGGCUCAACCGUGGAGGGUCAUUGGAAACUGGGGGACUUGAGUGCAGAAGAGGAAAGCGGAAUUCCACGUGUAGCGGUGAAAUGCGUAGAGAUGUGGAGGAACACCAGUGGCGAAGGCGGCUUUCUGGUCUGUAACUGACGCUGAGGCGCGAAAGCGUGGGGAGCAAACAGG
rnacentral:rRNA from 1 species